GACAGAGGGUGCCAACGUUGUUCGGAAUUACUGGGCGUAAAGCGCGUGUAGGCGGCUUGAGCAAGUCGGUGUGAAAGCCCAGGCUCAACCUGGGAAUUGCAUUUGAGACUGCGUAGCUAGGGUGCGGAAGAGGGAAGCGGAAUUUCCGGUGUAGCGGUGAAAUGACGUAGAUAUCGGAAGGAACACCAGUGGCGAAAGCGGCUUCCUGGUCCAGCACCGACGUUCAGGCACGAAAGCGUGGGGAGCAAACAGGAUUGAGAAACCCGUAG
rnacentral:rRNA from 1 species